GCCUCUUAGCUCAGUUGGUUAGAGCGCUGCACGGGUAUCGCAGGGCCGCAGGUUCGAUUCCUGCCAUCAUAGACA
rnacentral:tRNA from 1 species